UACGUAGGGGGCAAGCGUUGUCCGGAAUCAUUGGGCGUAAAGCGCGUGUAGGCGGCCAGAAAAGUCCGCUGUGAAAACUCGAGGCUCAACUUCGAGCUGUCGGUGGAAACUUUCUGGCUAGAGUCCGGGAGAGGUGAGUGGAACUGCGAGUGUAGAGGUGAAAUUCGUAGAUAUUCGCAAGAACACCAGUGGCGAAGGCGGCUCACUGGCCCGGUACUGACGCUGAGGUGCGAAAGCGUGGGGAGCAAACAGG
rnacentral:rRNA from 1 species